AGGGCGCGCCCCGAAACGGGCACGGGCGCGAGGGCGCGCGUUCCCAGGAGUCCGCGGUCAGAUGAAGACAAAGAAGUAACAAUUCCUAUAAAGGAGAGAAGAGCAAUAAGUAUGAAGUCUGAAGAACCGGGUAAUUGCGAUCUUCAUCACCAGCCAGAGCUCCCAGCUAUUGGACACUUUAUACACGGUUCUCUGGUCUCAGGUCCGCUUUCCUUAAACUUUCUGAAUUCUCAGCUCAGUUACCUUAAAGUUAUCUCUGCUAACCGGUCCUUUGGUCUGAUGGUCCCCACCAAAAACAAAAUGUCUGAAGAUUCCCUGGUUCAUUUGAAAAGACAGACGACAUUAAGAAAAAUUAACUAACCUCAAGAACUGUGUGGUGUAUGUGUAUACAGUUCUAGACUAAACGUCGGCAUGAGGGCAUGACUUAAUGUCCUAGCUUCCUCCUCUUCCAUCCCCCUUUCUCAUGAGCAAUGUGUCUUGAUGCAUAAUGGAAUUGUGUUUUAUAGAAACGCAGUCAAUAGUGAUCCACUUAAUACUCUUCACUGGCCAAACCAUAACUGGAGUUCUGUGUUCAGUCUGGAUUGAGCACUUAAAAAAACAAACAAACAAACAAAAAACAACCUCAGAGAAGCUGGGAUUAUUUCAUAGAAGAGCAGAUGAUGAAGAGAACCCCAAAACGUACCACAUAAAAAAAAAUACUGAUUGAACUUGGGAGGAUUCUCAUAGAAGAGAGAAAGCUCCGGGAACAUCUCCUAUUAAAUAAACACUAGUCAUGUGACAUUAGAUUUAUUUCAUGUGGUCUCAAGAGCUGCAGACUUGAGAGAAACAUUUCAGAUCCUGAAAAGAAGAUCCCCUUCUAGCACUAGUCAGAGAAGUUGUCUGCCUUAGGAUAUGUGGAUGCCUCAACCACUGGAUUUGACCUUAAUUAGAUUCUAAAGGCUUACUUCAUAGGCACUAGGUGAAGGGGAGCCAUACAUCAAAAGAAUUAAUUUUAUUAAAGUUAUUCCCAACCUUGAGAUUGGAUCAGCCCAUGGUCCCAGACUUAAAAGAAUUUACAGAUUAACUUAUGAGACAAGACAAAUGCGUCAAAAGGUAAAUAAUGAGAGGAAGCCACAUGAUAACGAGAGGUACUAACAAAAAGUGCUAGAAAUUCACACGACAGAUUGUUCUUAUCACAGUUCCUUGGAGACUUAAGGAAGAAGGAGGAGAUUGAAAAUGGACCCCACUAGAACUGCCCUAGAACUAAUCAAAUGCAACUCUUUAUCCUUGAAAUGUGAUGGAUCCAAAUGGAAACAUGCAUUACCUGAGGUCAACCACAAUCUGGAAGCAGAUGAUCCUUCUUCUGAUAUAUCAUCAAAGUGUGAAUAGUGGCCUACUGCUAUGUCAGAAUGCCUGUGACAUUCACUUCAUCAGUAGGUGUUUUAUCCUCUCACAUCCAAAGAAGAAAGGUGAGUACACUACAAUAAGAUAUUUAGAGA